rnacentral:lncRNA from 1 species
GCAACUUUAUUAUUUACUUAAAUUUCAGUUUUCAUUUUAAAUGUCUGCCACAGAGUGGCAGAGUUACAUCUGCUUUUAUUUUCUGUUGUUUUGUGUUUUGUUGUUUUUUCACUAUUUCUCUUUCUUUUUAGUUUGUGGAAUUUUCAUAUGCUUUAAACACUAGAGAAUCCCGUUACGCUCACACUUUUCUAGCGCCAUAAAUGUUCAUGAAUUUUCCAGUUUUACUUAUAUCGUUAUGCAGCACACUAUAUGUAUGUAUAUUAUUUUUUCAUUUUAUAUGGUUUUUAUUUUUCUAUUUAUGCUAGAGGUUUACAUCAUUACAAUUAUAGAAUAUAUAUAUGUAUAUACAUAUAUAUUUUUAAAGAUGCAUGUUUUUAUAUUUUCAAUUGUUUUUCCAUUCC